GACGAACGCUGGCGGCGUGCCUAAUACAUGCAAGUGGAACGCAUUGAUAUCACCGGAGCUUGCUCCACCGAUAUAAAUGAGUCGCGAACGGGUGAGUAACGCGUAGGUAACCUGCCUGAUAGCGGGGGAUAACUAUUGGAAACGAUAGCUAAUACCGCAUGAGAGUGUUUAACACAUGUUAGAGACUUAAAAGAUACAAUUGUAUCACUAUCAGAUGGACCUGCGUUGUAUUAGCUAGUUGGUAGGGUAGCGGCCUACCAAGGCAACGAUACAUAGCCGACCUGAGAGGGUGAUCGGCCACACUGGGACUGAGACACGGCCCAGACUCCUACGGGAGGCAGCAGUAGGGAAUCUUCGGCAAUGGACGAAAGUCUGACCGAGCAACGCCGCGUGAGUGAAGAAGGUUUUCGGAUCGUAAAGCUCUGUUGUAGCGGAAGAACGCGUGUAAGAGUGGAAAGUUACACAGGACG
rnacentral:rRNA from 1 species